rnacentral:lncRNA from 1 species
UGGUAGAGUACAUGUAGUGGUGGGGGAGCUUUUGGUCAUUGUUCUUCCAUCCAUUCCUUUGAUGCAGGAUUUCUCUAUGUGGGCACUACUGACACCUCGGGCUGGACAAUUCUUUGUUACACAGGGAUGUCCUGUGUGUUGUAGGAUGUUUCCCAGCUUUUCGGGUCUCUACCUUCUAGAUGUCAGUAACCCCCUCCACCCCCUCCAAUCAUGUCAAUUAAAAAUAUCUCCAAAUAUUUCCAUGUGUUAUGUGGGGGAGGGGGGUGUCCCUAGUUUGAUGUGCUGUUUCUUUACUGAGUGUUUCCUGAAGGCGGUGAAAUAUCUCUUAUUUGCUAAAGUGGUAAUGUCACAGAAUUCUUGAUUCAAAGAUAUCAGGAAUUUAUAUUUUUCCUGAUUCUUUAUUCACAGCAGUACCCCUGGUAUCACACUAGUGAGAAACCAAUGGAAGAAACCAGAUCUUAUCUUAAUUUUUAGCCCAUUUAUAUGCCUGCACAUAAUAUUUAUCUCUUUGCUCAUCUCCCUGGAUCUCUUAUGAUCAAUAAUAUGCCUGUAGAUUAAUUUCUGUUUUUAAUCCUUGUUCGGUCAUCUUACUCUGGAAUACUGAAUCUACUUUCCCACAACCUUUGAAUCUGUAGGCCUAGACUGAGUUUCAGCCUUUCUUCUCUUUUUGACAGGGAACAAGAAUCAUACAAGAACCAAAAGGAUCAUAUACCAGAAAUAUCAAAAAUUGACUCUCGUGCUGUAGUGACCACAACCUGCACUCCUGCUGACAUCAUUAAUGAAUCGGAAUACUCUCCUCCUGAGCCUGGAGCCCACCUCAGAAUCCAGGAAGCAACUGAGGCAGUUGAUAGAUUGAACAGGAUUGUAAAAAGAGAUUCAAAUUAUUUGGUCUCCAAGCUCUGGUCAUUUUUAGAGCUACAGAAACUGAAAACCAGGUGAUGAAAAGGAGUGCCCAGGCCACCUGGAGUUUUGGUCUUCUGACCUCGUGUUUCUUCGCCUGUCCCUCAUUUAUGAAUCAAGGAAGCUUGUCCAAGCCCAGUGACUUGCUUGGAAGUAGAGCCUUGAAAAGUGUGCUAAAAAUAAGAGUAUUGCUUAGAAUGGUGGGGGUGAACUUGAGUUUAACCAGAUUCUCUUUUCUUUGCUUUUUGAGCAACAAAGAAUACUCCUGUGUGUUGCACAAAGAUUGGAGAGGCUAUAAUAAUCCCUGCCACCAUGACUUUUAAGAGAUCAAAGAAAAUUCUGAGUGGUACCUAAAUGUCCAAAUUUAAAAUUCAAGAAAAAAAUAAGCAGCAGCACAUAAAAACUUUUCUGCAGCAGCCUGCAGGAAGGGUAAAUAUGGCAUGUAUAUUUGAAUGAAAGAAUUUGAGAUUCAGUCUUAGCCAGCCUUUUUAGGAAAAAAAAAAAUUCAGGGUCUGAUGGGAAAUAAAAAGCUGUUUAUGUUUUAUCGUUUGUAUACAAUAAAAUACACUGGGAAGAAAAAUUGAUCCUGGUUCAUCUUCUCAUCUGGGUUUUAUUUCUCUAUCCUCGGCUUUCCCGGCUGAGGCUGAUACUGCCCAUGUUUAUGUGAAAUGGGCUCAUGCUCUCCUCUUGCCUUUCGAUAAUUAUAGGUCUCCCCAGGAAAACGGCUUUACCGAGAAAUUUUAUAAAGGUUUUAAAGAUUUUAUUAUGAAGGAUUCAGCCCUUCCACAAUUAUUACUUUUAAAAGGUGCUCUGUAGCCAUUGCUAGAGGAACAGCUAUUGAUCCUUUUAUAAAGGGAAGAGCGACUCUCGUAUGCCCAUGUGAGUGCUAUCCCUUGGUAUCUUUUAAACAUCUUUUAAAUGUGCUGAAGCAAAACGAUCCUUUCUCUUGUUGGAGGGCCUCCUGUCCCCACUGACGAUAACACAAUCAGCUCUAGCCCUGUGGGCAAUACUAACCACAAAUUUCACUUUUGUUUUAACAGUUAUAUUGGAAACUGCAAUGAACUUCACCUUGUUUCAUGAAGUUUGCUCAAGAGGCAAUUGCUAAACUUGUGAGAUGGAUAACCUUCCAAAUACUUCUUUUGUUUAAUGUUUCCUUUUUUACUUUUUUAAUUUUUUUAUUUUCCAAAUACUUCUUGACUCAGCCAUCCUCUCUUCCAUCCUCCCUACCUUAGGCAGCAAAUCCUUUUGUGGGUAAAAUGCUUCCCAGCGGGUACCGCUCCAAUGUGUAUGAUCCUCCUGCUGUAAUUAUUUAAUGCCUCUCCCUUACCUAUAGGAAUAAGUCCAAACUGUACCAGAGGCGUGCUGAUGCCCUGGUGACCUGGUAUACUUUAUAUCUUAACUUGCUCCCCCAUGAACCUCAUGAACCCACCUAACAAAUUAUAUCUCAUUGGGGGAAUAAAUAGUUGAUGGCAAGUCUCUGAAGGCAGCUGUACAGUCUAAUCGAUGACAGAGAAGUUUUUGAGCCAGACAGGUAUGAGCUUUCACUUUUGUUCCUUCACUUAGUGAAUGUCCAUGAGAAAAUCAUAUAAUCUCUGGAAUUCUAUGUCCUCCAGUGAACAUAUUGAUAAGAAGAAAUGGAUGUAAGGGGCCAGACACAGUAGCUGUCCUAUCAUUGUUAUGCCAUAAAAAGGGAACUACAUUUCUGUAGGUUAUAUAAUAUAAUGGGAACGUAUAUAAGUGUCAGAGUCAAGGAGGUCAUGUUUUAAUUUUUUUCUGAAUCUCAGUUUUCUCAUCUGUGAAACAGAGAUCCGGAAAUGGGUCUAGCUGGGUUGUUGAGAUGAAAUGUGAUAAUAGACAUAAAAUGUCAAGUAGAUUGCCCGGCAUAAAGUCAGUGUUUCAAAAAAUGGUAUAUUUGAUUACUAUUAUACCCUCUAUACAAUAAAAGAGCACUAAAAUCAUUAUUAAACUGCAUUCCAACCACACAAUGUUCGUGGUGAGUUAGAGGUGAAUUCAUGCUUGCAGGCCAUUUAUUCCCUCACUUUGUUUAAUGAGCAUUCUUUUAAAUUACCAUCCUGUUCCAACUCUGGUUCCAGGUGACAGAAGUACAAAGAUGAAUGUUAUAGCCCUUGUUCACAAGGAGCUCCCAAUCUACUGGAGGAAAGGAGAUUUUUCAAAAGGCAGGAUGUAUUGUACAUAUAUGUGGGAAAGACCCAAAUGGUGUUUUGCAAAUAUUAAAAAGUGAAAGAAAAAAAAAAAAGUCAAUUGCAUCGAAGAAAGUUCCAGGGAAGUAUUGACAAUUUGAGCAUGAAGGGAAAAUGAUAGCCCGAAAGGCAGUGUUCAGAGGAAGGACAUUCUGGAUGCAGGUUAACCCUUGGAGCACAGACACAGGGAUGAGAAAGGUCUAGAGAAUGUUAGAAACAGGCAAAGGUAGGGAAAUGGGAUACCACGGGGCUGAGUGGAUACCUCACUGAAGAGAGCUGCUUAGCCUGGGGGUGAUGGGAAGGUGCUUUGAAUUGCAGAGCAACCUGGCCAGAGAAAUGCGUAGAAAGUGACUCUGAAAGAAGAGAUAGGAAGAAAGGCCAAAUGGAGGUUUGGAGACCAGUUAGGAGGCUUUUGUAAUAAUCCAGGUAAGAGUUACCAGGGGAACUAAGGUGCUUAUAGUGGAAAUAAAACAUCCAGAUGUGAGAAAGCUUCCAGCUGUUUUACGGGGGCGGUGGUGGGGGGGGACCAGCCAGUUAAUGCCAUGUGGGGAACACUGUACUUUUUGUUAAUUAUUGCCGUGUUCUGGCUUGUAAACCCAAAAGUGAUUCUGAUGGUUAAACAAGAAAAGUUGGGUCUCAUAAAAAGCAAAUUUUAUUAGCAAAUAAGGUCAAGUGUAUUUCCUACGGCCACACCACAGUGGGUGCUGGAACCCAGAUUAAGAACACAGACCUGUCUGUGCCCAAAGUUUUCAUGCUUUCCAUCCCUAUCUUCUAUCAUUCUCUCUCUCUCUCUCUCUUUUUUUUUGGCUGAGCUCAAGGCAUGUGGAAGUUAGUUCCCCGGCCAGGGAUCAAACCCGCUGGGUCCCUAGGGAAUACCCCAUUCUGCUUUUUGAAGGCACAUGUUUGGGUACUUUGCUAAGUGGGGGGUGACCAGAGCACUAAAUUCACGGAAGAGUGUGAUGAGAGAGAAAUCCACACAAAUAAACAAGGAUCAGAUUAUACGAGAAGCUUAUUGUUCCAGAUGGGGUCAGACCCUGGGAGCAAAGGGGAAUUGUGUGAAGUUAAGAAACAUGAACCUGGGAAAGAAUGGAGGCAGGAGACAGAUUGGGGUUUGCUGCAAAGGUUCAGGCAAGAAAAUGCAGUAGCUUAGACUAAGGCAUGGCCAUGGGACAUGGAAUUCCGCUUACUGAUAGAGAUGAUAUUAGCAAUGUAUUGCCAAGAAAGAAAUGCUGGUUUCCAAAUAAUGUGAAUCUCACAUUGUGUUUAGAAAAUAAAUAGAUGUCUAUAUUUUUACAUGGCUUUCUCAUCUCCCCUCACCUCUCUCUUUCUCUCAAUAAUGUCUUCAUGAGUAAUCUCAGAGCGAGAGGAUAGCUGGCAUUUUUUCUGCUCUUUUCUAUUAUAGCUAAUAUAUUUUUAAGUAAUUACUGUGUCAGGAACUGUGCUAAGAGCUUUAUGGUCAUUUGCUUAUUUAAUCCUUCUAAUAGUGUUGGGAGAUAGGUAUUAAUGUAAUUAUCACUAUUACUACUACUGUUAUUAUUAUUAUCCCCAUCCUAAUGUGAAAUUGAGGCUCACGGAAAAGUAAGCAGCCUGCCUAGAGCGUAGUUGCUUUGUUGAGUGGAUGAAUACGGAUCUCUUGCAUAUUUUAAUAACAGGGCAGGAACCCUAACUAAGGCCUGCAGGCCUCCACAGAUUCCUCUUUCAACCACCAUAUAAUAUUUUGUAUUUCAUCUAUUCGUCCCUUUUAUUAAAGAUAAAAUAUAUUUCCAAAAUGUGUACAUUGAUUCACAUGGGCCAUAAAAUAUUUUUUACAAGUAUUAUUGUUGUCAAGCUCUCACUUAGUCAUAGAAAAAUAUGACUAUUCUGUCUCUUUUAAAACUUUCAUUAUAAAAGUAAUGCAUGCAUAUGGUAAAAACCUUAAUAGUUUUAAAUGGUCAUAUAAUGAAAAACAAGUCUCCCUGAAAAGUCAGCCUUAUUUCUACACCCCAAAGAACACUACAGUGAACUGGUUAUUUUGUAUGUGUGUGAUUCUUUCCAGAAGUGGUGGAACCACAAGCACGCAUGUGUGUUUAAAUUUUAGUUUGUUAAAAAUAGAUGAGGUCAUGCUAUAUACUGUUCUGUGCAUUGAUUUUGUUAUUUUUCUUUAAAUCUGAAUUAAAGAUCCUUCUAAAGGAGUUCUCGUCAUGGAUCAGUGGUUAAUGAAUCCAACUAGGAACCAUGAGGUUGCGGGUUCGAUCCCUGCCCUCUCUCAGUGGGUUAAGGAUCUUGCAUUGCCGUGAACUGUGUAUAGGUCUCAGACCUGGCAUUUCUGUGGCUGUGGCUUAGGCCGGCGGCUACAGCUCCAAUUAGACUCCUAGCCUGGGAAACCUUCAUAUGCCACAGGUACGGCCCUAGAAGAG